GUCAGUGUGGCCGAGUGGUUAAGGGUAAGCAGCGACGGCGCCACCGCUGUGAUUUAUUGAUGGUUCUAACCAUGUCCUUAGCGUGUGACUUGAAUUGGCCAGCUGGGCUUUCUGCGAUCACAUCUCUUCGGAGGCAUAGGUUCGAACCCUAUCGCUGACG